rnacentral:rRNA from 1 species
UACGUAGGGGGCAAGCGUUGUUCGGAAUCACUGGGCGUAAAGCGCACGUAGGCGGGUCGUUAAGUCGGGGGUGAAAUGCCAAGGCUCAACCUUGGAACUGCCUUCGAUACUGGCGAUCUCGAGUCCGGGAGAGGUGAGUGGAACUCCGAGUGUAGAGGUGAAAUUCGUAGAUAUUCGGAAGAACACCAGUGGCGAAGGCGGCUCACUGGCCCGGUACUGACGCUGAGGUGCGAAAGCGUGGGGAGCAAACAGG